CAGCCGCCGCGGUAAUACGAGGGGUGCAAGCGUUAUUCGGAUUGAUUGGGUGUAAAGGGUGUGCAGACGGCUUAUUAAGUCACUUGUUAAAUUCUUCGGCCUAACUGAAGGUCUGCAAGUGAUACUGAUGAGCUAGAGGGUGGAAGAGAGAAGUGGAAUUCUCGGAGUAGCGGUAAAAUGCGUAGAUCUCGAGAGGAACACCAAUGGCGAAAGCACUCUGCUGGGCCGACACUGACACUGAGAGACGAAAGCUAGGGGAGCAAAUGGGAUUAGAUACCCCAGUAGUCCCUGUCUCUUAUAC
rnacentral:rRNA from 1 species